UAAGCCUGUGAAGGUGGCCUGUGAGGGUUGCUGGAGGUAUCAGAAGUGCGAAUGCUGACAUAAGUAACGAUAAAGCGGGUGAAAAGCCCGCUCGCCGGAAGACCAAGGGUUCCUGUCCAACGUUAAUCGGGGCAGGGUGAGUCGACCCCUAAGGCGAGGCCGAAAGGCGUAGUCGAUGGGAAACGGGUUAAUAUUCCCGUACUUGGUGUUACUGCGAAGGGGGGACGGAGAAGGCUAUGUUGGCCGGGCGACGGUUGUCCCGGUUUAAGCGUGUAGGUGUGUGUUCCAGGUAAAUCCGGUUCACUUUAACACUGAGGCGUGAUGACGAGG
rnacentral:rRNA from 1 species